UUAGCAAUCUUACUUCCAAGCGAGUCAGCACCACCUGUGGAGUACCAUGCUGCUGUUAAGGUAGAUUUUUCAAAGCAGUAACAUUAAUUACCAUAUAUAUGCAGACAAUACUCAAAUCUACAUUAUAAUUUCACCACAUGACUAUAAAUAGUGUUUUUAUGUUACACUGUAAGCCUUUUAUUAUCUAAAACAUUAUUGCUAGACUAAGGAGAUGUCUAAACAGGAUCUCAAAAAGUAAAAAAAAAAAAGUUUCCUGCAUUACUUUUAAGCAGGGUGGACAAUUUCAAAGUCACUGGUCUACCAAAGAAAGCUCUUGGGCCACUACAACUUAUCCAAACUGCUGCUAGAGUUGUAACCAAAACAAAGAAACAUGAACAUAUUACACCAAAUUUCAAGUCUUUGCAUUGGGUACCAGUAAGUCAGACAAUCAACCUCAAAGCACUGGGCAAGGACCAAAUUAUAUUCUGACAUGCUUUCUCCAUCUCAGUCAUUGGAAGCGCCGAUCGCUCGGAGGAGAGGAAAGUCAGCCAGGAGAGGAGCCAUGCAGGCCCAGCUUGGAUUUAAUUCUGCUCCUAAGGAUCGGGACUCAUGUUGACCAAGCAACGGAAUUUAGAGACUUUUGUGCCCACAUCGUUACAGAGACCUGCACCAUCUACAUCCCGGAUCAAGCACUCGGCAGGUGGUCCAUGUCAGCGCAAGACUCUGGCAAGAUGAGAGGAGGUGCACAAACUCACCUUCCCAUGAAUCUUUAAUCCCAGCGGGAGUCGUCGUGUUGCCAUAGAGACCAGAAUACAAAACAUUGCAGAGGAGAAGGCAACAGCAACGAACACGAGACCCCAGGAGAGGCUACAGAAGUAACAGGAGUUCUCAGCAGAUGUGCACACCAAGACGUGCACUGAGGCGAGCAGCAGGCACAAAAGGUAGAAAGGCAGGGAGAGCAGGGCUGAGAGGACUGGGAGGUCCACUGCUGCUUCACCACUCAGGGCUUCAGGCAUCGCCAGCAGUAAGACCAACAGGAGCUUAAGGGCCAGGAAGAGGGAAAGAAUGGAGAAAGGAGAGAAAAAGUUUUAAAGAACUGUGAUUAACUUUGAGCUCGGCUGAUACAAUCACAGAAACCUAUGUGAACAGUGGAGACUGUAUUCCUUUAUUUUGGCAGGUAGCAGCCAUGUCAACUUGGACAGCAGUAUUACCAGCAUUAGUAAUUAUGGCCAAUCCAUGUUAUCAAAGCUUUUUCUUCGCAGUCUUUAUGUGGCAAUUACACAGGCACCUACGCACCUGUGGCUUAUGUAUACUAACAAAACACUGCCCUACCAGCUACAACAAUAUAUACUGUAAGUAUUAGAGUCCUUAGGCUGAGUGAAAUUCUUCUGUACUUACCUGAAACACAAACACCAUGCCUGCGAUCAUGGAGUACAUGUCGUACUUGCCCAGCUGUUUGCUGAGGGCCGAGCUAAUGGCAGCCAGGGCCUCUAGAUACUGCUUCAGGACCUUUUUGCCCAUGUUGGUCAGCACCUCAGAGGUGUUGCCCUCCAGGUAGAGCUUCAUCCAGCUGCCAUGAGCCUUUUCUGCCACACGGAACUGCUCAAAGCCUGCCUCUGGAUCAGAGAGAAGUGGGGAGGGGGACACCGGUAUCAACAACUAGUUUGUUUAAAUAGUGUUGCUUUAGAGUAACCAUUAGUGAGAGACCGCUUUACUUUGAUGUUUGUUGUCAGGUACUUUAAAGGUGUGUGUUACUUGAUGCAACAUCACAUUAAUGUUGUUCUGUAUUUAUAACCAAAUACCAUUUGAUUUACCAUCAGGAUAAUAAAACUUAUUUAUGAAACCAAA